AUACGGAGGGUGCAAGCGUUGUUCGGAAUCACUGGGCGUAAAGGGCGCGCAGGCGGUUUGGUAAGUCAGAUGUGAAAGCCCACGGCUCAACCGUGGAAGUGCAUUUGAAACUGUCAGACUUGAGUACUAGAGGGGAAAGUGGAAUUCCCAGUGUAGAGGUGAAAUUCGUAGAUAUCGGGAGGAAUACCGGUGGCGAAGGCGACUUUCUGGCUAGAUACUGACGCUGAGGCGCGAAAGCGUGGGGAGCAAACAGGAUUAGAAACCCUAGUAGUCC
rnacentral:rRNA from 1 species